AUUGAACGCUGGCGGCAGGCCUAACACAUGCAAGUCGAGCGGCAGCGGGAAAGUAGCUUGCUACUUUUGCCGGCGAGCGGCGGACGGGUGAGUAAUGCCUGGGGAUCUGCCCAGUCGAGGGGGAUAACUACUGGAAACGGUAGCUAAUACCGCAUACGCCCUACGGGGGAAAGCAGGGGACCUUCGGGCCCUGCGCGAUUGGAUGAACCCAGGUGGGAUUAGCUAGUUGGUGAGGUAAUGGCUCACCAAGGCGACGAUCCCUAGCUGGUCUGAGAGGAUGUUCAGCCACACUGGAACUGAGACACGGUCCAGACUCCUACGGGAGGCAGCAGUGGGGAAUAUUGCACAAUGGGGGAAACCCUGAUGCAGCCAUGCCGCGUGUGUGAAGAAGGCCUUCGGGUUGUAAAGCACUUUCAGCGAGGAGGAAAGGUUGGUAGCUAAUAACUGCCAGCUGUGACGUUACUCGCAGAAGAAGCACCGGCUAACUCCGUGCCAGCCGCCGCCGUAA
rnacentral:rRNA from 1 species